ACUUAAAUGAAUUGACGGGGGCCCGCACAAGCAGUGGAUUAUGUGGUUUAAUUCGAAGCAACGCGAAGAACCUUACCAGGUCUUGACAUCCAACUAACGAAGCAGAGAUGCGUUAGGUGCCCUUCGGGGAAAGUUGAGACAGGUGGUGCAUGGUUGUCGUCAGCUCGUGUCGUGAGAUGUUGGGUUAAGUCCCGCAACGAGCGCAACCCCUGCCAUUAGUUGCUACGCAAGAGCACUCUAAUGGGACCGCUAUCGACAAGAUGGAGGAAGGUGGGGACGACGUCAAAUCAUCAUGCCCCUUAUGACCUGGGCUACACACGUAAUACAAUGGCCGUUAACAACAGGAAGCGAAGGCGCGAGCCGGAGCAAACCCCAAAA
rnacentral:rRNA from 1 species